rnacentral:tRNA from 1 species
GGAUUAGUAGCGUAAUGGUAGCGCGACAGGCUGUUAACCUGUGGGGUGAAGGUUCAAAUCCUUCCUAGUCCG